UCGCGCGGCGCUGAGAGGAGAGAGGAGCGUCGAGUUUGAAAAAAAAAAAAUUAUAAAAAAAAUAAAAACAGCGCAAGCCGCGGGGACUCACUGAGUGGAACAGAUGCCAUCAAUCAUUGUCAUAAGACAAGUCAUUGUCGAAGCAUUGCUGCAUACAGAGCAUUAAUUCUGUUUAGGAUUACGUUUGGUCUGUCUACUGCAGGGUUAUGAACGAAACAGAUUCGAUAUAGAAGGUUUUCAUUAUUUAUAGUUGUGUUAAGUGUACUCUCUCAUGCUGUGAAACACCGGCUAGGUCUCUUUCUCUCUCGCACACAGAAAGUUGGCUGCCUCUGAAAGGAAAACUCAAAAUAAAAGUGAAAAAGGCUAAAUGAAAGAGCAAUGCGCACGGAAGUGAAGCUAUAAAAAGAGAAAGAGGAGCUAUUAAUUAUGAAGCAGUAACGGCAGCAUGUGUGAACUGCGCUGGACUCUGGGGCUGAAUUUUAUAGAUCACUCCCACAGUUCUGGAACCUAAAACAUCAACAGCAGAAUGGGCUGACAGAGAAAGAUUUAGAUGGCUUCUCUCUACUGCCUCCUGCUGUCCUGUGUUUUUUGGGGUAGAGACAUGAAGGUACCUACAAGCAAAUUCAUAAAGGUUUGUGAAAAGUUGUGAGUGUGUCAGCUGUGUCUUGAUGUGUGUUGCAGCCUCCCUUUUUCCUGAUCUUCUCAGGCACUUAUUCACCAGACGGCCUGAUGGAGGAGGAGAGAGCGGCAGACGAGAGAGAGAGAGAGGUGUGUGUCAUGUCAGUGAUGUCUUUCUUAGCAUUGAGCCAUGAUGUCUGCAAACAAUUGCUGUAAUCAAGACGCUUUAACGUGCACAGGUGUGUGACGUGAAUUUAAGAGCGUUCCACUCCUUAGAUCUCUAUAUAGUGAAUCGGCGAAUAUGACUUGUUGCAUUAGCAAGGGCCUUUGAAACAUAGGGACACCGAUGACUCGGUUACAUGCAACACAAUUUAAAAGGUCACACAUUAAAAUUAUGCUGGUAUUUAUCAGCUGUUACAUAUCAAAAGUAAUUUAGAAAUGUGUUUACAGUAGAAUUUGUGCUUACGUGCAGUCAGACAUGUAAAUGUCAAUGUGUAAGGCUGGAAGGUUUUAUCCUCAGUACCCAGAUUCAAGUUUGUUGGAUUCUGAACUGGACUUUUGAGGGAAUAGAGCUUCUACUGUAAACAUGUAAAGAUUAACCUCGUCAUAAACUUAAAAGCUGCAGGGUUUUAUAUAAUUUCAUAUGCUCAAAGCCUAGUUUGACCGCAGCUUAAAGGGAUGGUUCACAGAAAAAUAAAUAAAUAAAUAAAAUAAAAUAAAACUUGGUCAUCAUUUACUCACCUUUUUUAUUUUUCUAUGAUUUGGACAUG